CCUACGGGAGGCAGCAGUGGGGAAUAUUGCACAAUGGGCGCAAGCCUGAUGCAGCAACGCCGCGUGAGGGACGACGGCCUUCGGGUUGUAAACCUCUUUUAGUAGGGAAGAAGCGAAAGUGACGGUACCUGCAGAAAAAGCACCGGCUAACUACGUGCCAGCAGCCGCGGUAAUACGUAGGGUGCAAGCGUUAUCCGGAAUUAUUGGGCGUAAAGAGCUCGUAGGCGGUUUGUCGCGUCUGCUGUGAAAACUGGAGGCUCAACCUCCAGCCUGCAGUGGGUACGGGCAAACUAGAGUGCGGUAGGGGAGAUUGGAAUUCCUGGUGUAGCGGUGGAAUGCGCAGAUAUCAGGAGGAACACCGAUGGCGAAGGCAGAUCUCUGGGCCGUAACUGACGCUGAGGAGCGAAAGCAUGGGGAGCGAACAGGAUUAGAUACCCUGGUAGUCCAUGCCGUAAACGUUGGGCGCUAGAUGUGGGGACCAUUCCACGGUUUCCGUGUCGCNGCUACGCAUAGUACGCCCGCCGUCGGGAGGUACGGCCGCGACGACGUAACUAACAAAGAAGUAGACGGCGUGAGACGUCGCGACGGACGACGACGAGGGAGGAGG
rnacentral:rRNA from 1 species